rnacentral:lncRNA from 1 species
ACGGUGAGCAGCUCUGCCUUCGCCUCUGCCUCUCCCGCGUUCUCUGUCCUUGUAGUCUAUCGCUUGCUGUGCUGCGGUUGUGUGGGCGUGACAUGAUUGGUUGCGUGGAGGCGGUUGGUCGGAUAAGUUUCGUUGUUUCGGUUAGUGUUUCGUGUUCCGAUUUGUCUGGGGUUGGGGAGGAGUCGGCUGCUCCGUGGGUUGAUUUGCUUUUCCGUGAAUUCUGGGGAGUUUUUAUUUUUUUUCUGCACAUCUCCGUUAUUGGGAAUUUUUGCCCUUAUUGUCGGUUUUCUCAAUCUGGGAAUAGAUUGUUGAGUUUAUAUAGAUUAGUGAUUGUAUUGGAGAUCUGAGCGAGUUUGCGGUGUGAAAUCUGAACCGUGUUGCUAAUAUCUAAUCCUGCCUUUUUGUUUGUGCUAAUAUAAGCAGUAGUUUUUAAGAUUCUUAGGCCAGUCACAAUGGGGGUUUCACUGGUGUGUCAUGCACAUUUAAUAGGGGUAAGACUGAAUAAAAAAUGAUUAUUUGCAUGAAAUGGGGAUGAGAGAGAAGGAAAGAGUUUCAUCCUGGUGAAACUCGUCAGCGUCGUUUCCAAGUCCUCGGUAACAGAGUGAAACCCCCGUUGAGGCCGAUUCGUUUCAUUCACCGGAUCUCUUGCGUCCGCCUCCGCCGUGCGACCUCCGCAUUCUCCCGCGCCGCGCCGGAUUUUGGGUACAAAUGAUCCCAGCAACUUGUAUCAAUUAAAUGCUUUGCUUAGUCUUGGAAACGUCAAAGUGAAACCCCUCCACUGUGGGGAUUGUUUCAUAAAAGAUUUCAUUUGAGAGAAGAUGGUAUAAUAUUUUGGGUAGCCGUGCAAUGACACUAGCCAUUGUGACUGGCCUUAUAUUCUGUGGAUUCAUGCGGGCUUCGAAUUACUAUUAUAUCAUCCCAACCUAAGACUUGCAAUAUAUUGGGAAUAUAUCGUCGAUGCUCCUAGCUUUUGUUCCCUAUCCCGAUAACAUUUUGUUAUGCCUAAUGACUGUGAAUUAUCACCCAUAGUAAUGACUGCAAAUUAUCACGGAAAGUUUAGCUUAGGAUCAGGAGUUUAUUAGAGGCGCUAUGCAUCACCCACCUACCCCACAGUUAAGUUUUGUUGCAACAGGAACGAAUACUCCAAGGAUGCAAUGCGGCAUAUCUAGGUUGCAGCCUAUAUAGAAUCUUUGUUCUGUAAAGUGUUGCUAUUCCUUUCUAGUUUCUGUUCUGGGCGCCAAUAGUUCACAUAUGCGCAUCACAGCUUAGGGGAAAUAACAAAUAAUAUAAUGGGUUUAUUACUGAUCUAUUUUUUCUUAUUAUAUUACAGUUGAUUUAUUUCCUACUAUAAGUUGAAUGUGUGCAGCAUGAGAAACUGUUGGAUUUUAUUCCUUAUCCAGUCUUCUCUAUUGAAUGAUCUCUGCUUUAAAACGAACGUGAAAAGCAUUAGGCAUACCCAUGGAGGUAUUCAGUAUUCAUAAUGUAAUGCAAUUGUACAUAAAUAUCAUCUGCUGCUUUUAUGCCUUCAAAUACACUUUUAAGUUUAUAUCAUGUUGUGUGCAGUACUUUUUCGUUGCUUUGUUUUGUUUUCACUCUGUUGUUUCCGAAAAUUCCACUCGUUCGUGGGAAGCUAAUAUCGUAAUUUGCAUCUGCUUCAUUUGUAUGUCUGAAUAGUUAUUUUGUUUACUUUGUUUUUUUUGGGCAGCGAC